CUUAUGCUGUGUCUGAAAUUACAGAUGACGUAAAAUAUCUUUUCUCUUUGGUUUGAGUUGGUGUUAGUUAGGUUAGGUGAUAAAUCCAAAACUGAAAAGCCAUAUUGUGUUUAUUUUUUUUUUGAAAAUUGCUCAAGAAUGUCAAAAAAACGUGGAAAUAAAAAAGGAAAAAAUGUUGAAGAUGAUUUUGGUGAGGAAGCACCUAGUGUAUCAAAUAAUAAAGAAAACACUUUGAAAACCUCAAAGUCGAAGGCUUCCAAAAAGGGAAAGCGUGGUAAAAAUGACUGGAGUGAUGAGGAAACUGCGGAAAAAGGAUCAUCUGAGCCACUGGAAAAGUUAAAAAACACUGAUCCACAAACUGGAGGGAGUAAAAAAUCCACCAAAAAAGGUAAACA